AAGCCACAGGGGACCCCCAAGUCAUGUUCUAUAUAUUCAUAGUAAUUCAAUCUUGGGCGGUCAUGUUUACAAUCCCGGCCAAGUCAUGAUCGGCCACACGGGACUCCCAAGUCAUGUUCUAUAUAUUCAUAGUAAUUCAAUCUUGGGCGGUCAUGUUCUAUAUAUUCAUAGUAAUUCAAUCUUGGGCGGUCAUGUUCUAUAUAUUCAUAGUAAUUCAAUCUUGGGCGGUCAUGUUUACAAUCCCGGCCAAGUCAUGAUCGGCCACACGGGACUCCCAAGUCAUGUUCUAUAUAUUCAUAGUAAUUCAAUCUUGGGCGGUCAUGUUCUAUAUAUUCAUAGUAAUUCAAUCUUGGGCGGUCAUGUUCUAUAUAUUCAUAGUAAUUCAAUCUUGGGCGGUCAUGUUCUAUAUAUUCAUAGUAAUUCAAUCUUGGGCGGUCAUGUUCUAUAUAUUCAUAGUAAUUCAAUCUUGGGCGGUCAUGUUCUAUAUAUUCAUAGUAAUUCAAUCUUGGGCGGUCAUGUUCUAUAUAUUCAUAGUAAUUCAAUCGGUCAUGUUAUGAUUGCAACUCUGACCAAGUCAGGUUUGGUUUGAUAGCAUAACAUGGCCUUCUUAUCUUUGCCGGUCAUGAUUUGACAACCCUGGCUUAGUCAAGAUAUAUCCCAUGUUUUACAUCUUGACUAGGCCAUGAUUUUCUAUCCCAAGAUUGCAUUGGCCAAGAUACAUUACUUCCAAACGCAGUCAAGAUUUACUUCCCAAGAUUUUAUAGGACCGAGAUUCGGCCAAGAUAGCAUUGCGCCAAGAUACAUUACUUCCAAACGCAGUCAAGAUUCACUUCCCAAGAUUUCAAAAGACAAAGACUAAUUUCCCAAGAUUUCAAAAGAUCAAGAAUCGGCCAAGAAUUUUUAGGAUGCAGAAGCGCGGCAAUAAUCAUAUGCUUGCUUGGCCACGGGUCGAGACCCACAUACAGAACUUUAGUUCAGUACUGCUACAUGCAGAUUAUCAGAGAAGAAUUGGAAGAAGUGAAAUUUGCCUGGAAUAACCACAGAAUCAGGAAACAAAAAUCAGGUGAUAUUGUUCCUGGGAUACCUGAGCUCCUUUAUCAUGUUCCUGAAAUGUUAGGCAAUCCACAGUGCCAAAAUUAUCUUCAUUAUAUCGAUGUUAAUGAUGAGCGGUUUCAUUUUCUGAAAUCUCAAUGCUGCUUUCAAAAUGACUUGGAAGAUGACAUUUAGGAAGCUUUUGACAUCAUCUCAGACUAUUACCGUCCUUCAACAAUAUUAGAAGCCAGAACUAUGUAUAUUGCACUCAAAGAUGUAUUGGAACACCAAAUAUAUCAUUAAUUUUUUUGCUUUUUUUUUGGGGGGGGGGGGGUAUUUUAUAUCCUAUUCUUAUAAUUAAUAAUAUAUUCUAUAAAUUCUGGGUUGUGUAUGUUUAAUUAUGAACAUCUGUUUGUACACAUCAAGUACAUGUACAUUGUACAUCAUCAGGAAACAUAUUAUAUGGGAUGGGAAUUGUAAAACAUGUACAAAUGAAAAAAA